rnacentral:rRNA from 1 species
CUGGCUCAGGAUGAACGCUGACAGAAUGCUUAACACAUGCAAGUCGAUUCGAUUUACCUUCGGGUAUUGAGGAUGGCGGACGGGUGAGUAACGCGUAAGGAACUUGCCUCUUGGUCUGGGACAACUGUUGGAAACGACAGCUAAUACCGGAUAUUAUGAGAUUCUCGCAUGGGAAACUUAUGAAAGCUAUAUGCGCCAAGAGAGAGCCUUGCGUUCCAUUAGCUAGUUGGUGGGGUAACGGCCCACCAAGGCGACGAUGGAUAGCCGGCCUGAGAGGGUGAACGGCCACAAGGGGACUGAGACACGGCCCUUACUCCUACGGGAGGCAGCAGUGGGGAAUAUUGGACAAUGGGCCACAAGCCUGAUCCAGCAAUUCUGUGUGCACGAUGAAGGUCUUCGGAUUGUAAAGUGCUUUCAGUUGGGAAGAAGAAAGUGACGGUACCAACAGAAGAAGCGACGGCUAAA